rnacentral:rRNA from 1 species
GACGAACGCUGGCGGCGUGCUUAACACAUGCAAGUCGAACGGAAAGGCCCUGCUUUUGUGGGGUGCUCGAGUGGCGAACGGGUGAGUAACACGUGAGUAACCUGCCCUUGACUUUGGGAUAACUUCAGGAAACUGGGGCUAAUACCGGAUAGGAGCUCCUGCUGCAUGGUGGGGGUUGGAAAGUUUCGGCGGUUGGGGAUGGACUCGCGGCUUAUCAGCUUGGUGGUGGGGUAGUGGCUUACCCAGGCUUUGACGGGUAGCCGGCCUGAGAGGGUGACCGGCCACACUGGGACUGAGAUACGGCCCAGACUACUACGGGAGGCAGCAGUGGGGAAGAGUGCACAAUGGGAGGAAGCCUGAUGCAGCAACGCCGCGUGGGGGAUGACGGCAUUCGGGUUGUAAACCGAUUUCGCCUGUGACGAAGCGUGAGUGACGGUAAUGGGUAAAGAAGCACCGACUAACUACGUG